rnacentral:rRNA from 1 species
AACGAACGCUGGCGGCAUGCCUAACACAUGCAAGUCGAACGAAACCUUCGGGACUAUUGGCGUCCGGGUGCGUCACGCGUGGGAAUCUGCCCUUGGGUUCGGCAUAACAGUUGGAAACGACUGCUAAUACCGGAUGAUGACGUAAGUCCAAAGAUUUAUCGACCAAGGUUGUGCCCGAGUAGGAUUAGCUAGUUGGUGAGGUAAUGGCUCAUCAAGGCGCGGAUCAUUAGAUGGGCAGAGAGAAUGGUCAGCGACACUGGGACUAGGAAGCGGCCCGGAAUCCUACGCGAUGCAGGAAUGGGGGAUAGUGGAAAAUGGGGUAAGUGAUGAUGCAGCACGGCCGGGAGAGUGAUGAUGGCCGUAGGGUUGAAAAGCGCAUGUACCCGUGAUGAUAUUGACGGUACCGGGUGAAUAAGCUCCGGCUAACUACGUG